AAGAAUCCUCUGCCAUGAUUGUAAAUCAAUCAGUAUUGGAAAGAAUCCUCUGACAUGAUUGUAAAUCAAUCAGUGAUCUUCUGUCAUGAUUGUAAAUCAAUCAUGAUCAAAUCUUACCAUGUUUAGCAUAGCACGAUUCUAGGACAUAAUUGAGGACACAAUCAAAGAUCUAAUUGUUCAUAUUAUGUACUAUAUAAACUCUGUAACUUACUAC
rnacentral:lncRNA from 1 species